AGAGUUUGAUCCUGGCUCAGGAUGAACGCUAGCUACAGGCUUAACACAUGCAAGUCGAGGGGAAACGACAUCGAAAGCUUGCUUUUGAUGGGCGUCGACCGGCGCACGGGUGAGUAACGCGUAUCCAACCUGCCCACCACUUGGGGAUAACCUUGCGAAAGUAAGACUAAUACCCAAUGAUAUCUCUAGAAGACAUCUGAAAGAGAUUAAAGAUUUAUCGGUGAUGGAUGGGGAUGCGUCUGAUUAGCUUGUUGGCGGGGUAACGGCCCGACCAAGGCUACGAUCAGUAGGGGUUCUGGAGAGGAAGGUCCCCCACAUUGGAACUGAGACACGGUCCAAACUCCUACGGGAGCA
rnacentral:rRNA from 1 species